ensembl:misc_RNA Y_RNA Y RNA
GACUGACUUCAAAAGAAAUGGCUGCCAUGAUUGUUCACAGGUACAGAUCAAACUCCUUGUUCUACUCUGUCUCCCUUUCUUACUACUGCAUUUGAUUAGUCUUUA